UUUAUAUAUGUAUUCUAUUUGAAUAAGGUACUGAAUAAGUAGUCAUGCCAACUGCUGCAACUUAUAUAUAUCGUCGCAUACGAAUUAACAAUGAAGAUAUAAUCAGAUACUGUUCGAGUCAUUGCAACACAGAUUUAACACUGGCCGAGUCGUCCUUGUAAUCGAGGCUAGAUAUUCCAAAAGGACAAUUGGGAUUAGACCCUACGAGACUAGGGAUAGCGUUCAACCUACUGCGUCUAGAGACUCGCACGCCGUGACGAUCGAAGCAUCGCAAUCCGAGCGACACCUACUGAGGAACAACCUCAAGCGCUCAACUUAACCAACUAACUGCUUCAAUAGUAUAAUGGUGUAAAGUAAGCAGCAAUCCCACAAUCAAGCAAUCACUGCGAGCGAAAGAAGUGCACGAACG